AAAAUGCGAUAAUAAUUGCGAAUUGCAGAAUUCAGUGAAUCAUCGUAACUUCGAACGCACAUUGCACUCUUUGGAAUUCCUUAGAGUAUGCCUCUUUGAGUGUCGGUUAAAAAACACACUUACUUUAUUUUAUUGAUAAAGUGAGGAAAUUGAGCGUCAAAAUUAAUUUUGUCUCUUUAAAUAUUAAGGUAGAGAGUGCCAACUGUAUCUUCAAUUUUCUUUAGUUGUUUUUGCUUCAUUCAUUUGAAGUAGGAUAACGGAUGUCUUGAUAACACAUGUUUGAAUGGAAAUUCUGAAUUUUGGAGAGUUCAUAGGUGGAUUAACUCUUUCAGAAAUGAUUUGACUUUUUUAUGUCAGAUAAUCCAAUGCUUCACUCAAGACCUCAAAUGAGGUAAGAUCA
rnacentral:misc_RNA from 1 species